rnacentral:rRNA from 1 species
UACAGAGACUGCAAGCGUUAUUCGGAUUCACUGGGCGUAAAGGGUGUGCAGGCGGCAAAAUGUGUGGAGCGUGAAAGCCCGAAGCUCAACUUCGGAACUGCACUCCAAACUAUUUUGCUAGAGCAUUGGAGAGAGUAGCAGAAUUCACGGUGUAGCAGUGAAAUGCGUAGAUAUCGUGAGGAAUACCAGAGGCGAAGGCGGCUACUUGGACAAUUGCUGACGCUCAAACACGAAAGCGUGGGGAGCAAAAGGG